AUUGUCAAAUCAUGAUCAAAAGACUUGCCAAAAAAAUUGUUUAAAAAUAUGGACACUUACCUCAAUUUGAUCUUGGAGAAUCGACAUCUUUUUGCACCGUACGUGCAUCAUGACCUUCAUAAAACUAUGUGCAAUAUUUGCAUCUUUUUCAUGCAAAUCCAAACAUUCACAUUCAUGAUUCUUUUUUUCGUAUUUUCUUGAGAGGAGUUUAACAUUAUAGCAUUUUUACCUUAAGCAUCUUAGGUGUGAGAUAUCUUUCUCUUCUUGGCUUCGGGAAAUUUAAUUCUCUUAGACUUGGUAAUGUUGAAUGAGAGGAGAUCAUCAACGGGAACUCUAGGAGUUCUCUUAGCCUUUGGAAUCUCAAAGGAGAGAAAAUCAUGCACUGAAACGACAUCUUCUUAAGCGGGAAUAGUGAGAAGACCCUGAAACAACUCAUACCUUUCGAAAAUGUUGCUAAGAUCCUUUAGAGGCUGUUGGUGUCCUUGGAGAAUAAACACCAUUUUUGCCAUAGUAUCGGCAUCACAUUCCCUACAAGUUUAUUAGUAGAGUAAUUAGGUCAAUCAUCACAAAAUCAGAAGGAAAAAAAAGAAGGAAAGAAUGAAAAUUUAAUUACUUAGGAUCAAAUAUCGGUAAAAAGGCUUCAUAUUUUCCGGCUUCUCUAUCAAAAGCUUUCUUCAUUGAUUGUAAGAUUGCAGACGAUCGUGUUUUGAGAUCUUGAACUCUCUUAGACUUGGGAAUUCAAAGGAGAGACGAUCGUGUUUGCAAAAGGUCCAUCUUUGUCCACAUCCAACCAUGGGCUAAAAAAACAAGAUCAAAAUCAUUUGUUAAUCUCAUCAAAUUAAUUCUUCUAUUAUCCUUGGACAAACAAAAUUCAAUAUGUUGUGUCUAGCCCAUAUCCUUCCUUAAUGUUCAAAAUUCUCCAUAGAAUAUAUUUUGUUCAAGAUUUGUACUUAAUUCAUUAUUUCUUUUGAUGGUUUG
rnacentral:sRNA from 1 species